UGUGUUCACCGUCUCCGGACACUGCCCGCUGGACGCUGUCUGUGUUCCCCGUCUCCGGACACUGCCCGCUGGACGCUGUCUCUGUUCACCGUUUGUGUCUACUCUCUUCAGAAACUGCCUACUGUCCACUAUCUCUGGAUACUGACCACUGUCUCCGGACACUUCCCAUUGUUUCUGUCCACAGUCCAUACACUGUCCCGUGUCCAAAAACUGUACAGUCUCUAUGGACAUUGUCCCUGGACAGAGCCCACUGUCCGGACACUGCCCACUGUCUCUGGUCAGUGCCCCUAUCCACUGUCUCCAAACACCGUCCUCUGCCUCCAGGCACUGUCUACUUUCUUCAGACACAGUCCAGAGUCUCCGGACAUUGUCUCUGGACACUGUUCACUAUGUCCACACACUUUGUCUGGUUAUUGUAAUUUGUCCACUAUCUCUGCCUCUGACCCACUGUCUCCACCUGUGUUCCACGAAGUUUAAAAUUUGGGUCGCCUUUUCAGGACAGAAAUUAGGAGAAUUUUCUUUUUGUCAGGAGAUUAUGUCACUUUGGCACUCUGCUUCAGAAGGCAAUGGAGGUGGGUCAUUGAAUAUUUUUAAGGUGGAGCUGGAUAGAUUCUUGUUGGGCAGGGGAAUCAACGGCGAUUGGGAAUGGAUGGGAAGGUGGAAUUCAAAACACAAACAGAUCAGUUUUAUCUUAUUAAAUGACAGAGCAGGCUUGGGGGGACAAAUCGUAGAAUCCCCACAUUGUGGAAGCAGGCCACCUGCCCCAUCAAAUCCACACUGAACCCUGAACAGCAUCCCACCCAGACUUGAACCGCUGCAUUUCUCAUGGCCAAUCCACCUGACCUGCACAAAAUCUUUGGACUGUGAGAGGAAACCGGAGAAAACACACGCAGACGUGGGGAGGUUUUAAUUGUUAAGGAUAAUCUGUCUCACCACCCAAAUGGAUCUGAGGAGGAGGGCGACCAGAACUGCACACAAUACUUUGGAAGAGGCCUCACCAACAUCCUGUACAACCUCAACAUGAUGUCCCAACACCUAUACUCAAAGGUCUGAGCAAUGAAGGCAAGUGUGCUAAAUGUCUUCUCAACCACUACCAUACAAGGGCAGUAGAUAUCAAUACCUGCAAGUCCCUCUCCACACCACUCACCAUCCUAACUUGGACAUACAUUGCUGUGCCUUCAAUGUCAAAAUCCAGGAACUGCCUCCUUAUCGGAUUGUAAGUGUACCUAAACAAAAAUGGAUUACAGUGGUUCAAGAAGGCAGCUCAUUAACACCUUCUCUAGGGCAAUUAGGGAUGGACAAUAAAUAGCUCAGCUUGUAUCACAUCCCAUCAACACUUGAGGCAGCACAUUCCACAUAAAACACUCCCUAUAUAAAAAUAUCUCCUCCUUUCAUUCUUUUGCCAAUCAUUUCAAAUCACUGACUUCUGGGUCUUGACCCUUCCACCAAUGGGAACAGUUUCUCUCUAACUACUUUGUCAAAUCACUAAAGAUUCUAUCAAAUCUCCUCCUGACCUUCUCAAGAGAGAACAGCCCCAUCUUUGCCAACCAAUCCCUGGAACUGAAGUCACUGAUUUUUGGAGGCCGUAAGUAUUCCCCGUCUAAAACCUGAAGUGCAGUGCUCAGAAAUGGACAUAAUUACCCUGUUAAGGUAUAACCAAUGUUUUGUAAAGUUACACCAUAACUCAAUGCCUCUUUUUAAAAAAUUUGUUCAUAGGAUGUAUGUGCUGGCCAACAUUUAUUGCCCAUCCUGAGUUGUUGUGCAGAGGCACAGACUGGUAAGAAUAUUUUUUUUAAAAACAACAGUGGUUAGGCCAGAUUUUUUUAAAUUAUUGAAUUCAAAUUUCACCAUCAGCCUUGGUGAGAUUUGAACCUACAUUCCCACAACACUAGAGUGGCUUUCUGGAUUACUAACUCAGUGAUAUUACCACUAUGCCACCCGUCUGGGCACUAUCCCUGGACAUUGUUCCCUCUCUGUCUCUGUGGACACCGCCUAUGGACAUUGUACAUCUCUCUUUCUCGGAUGCUGUGUCUAGACAUUGUACCCGCGUGCUCUGGAUAAUGUCUUUAGACAUUACACAUUUCGCUCUGCACACUCUUUGAACAUUGUUCCAUCUCUCUGGAUGCGAUCUCUGGACGUUGUGCCCUCUAUCUCUGGACACUAUUGCUGGACAUUGAAGAAUUUUCCAUUGAUUCCCACUGACACCAGUUUUGCUGUGCACCUUGAUGCCACAGUCAGUCAAAUGCUGCCUUGAUGAGUUGUUCGUUUGUUAAUUUAUUUUUGUUUAGUUGAAAGGUGUAUGCAGUAAAUGUUUCUUGCAUUCCCACAGUCUUGACACAUUAGAAAUAUUUCAUUGGCUGUAAAUGCACUUGAGACUUCUUGAGGUUAGAAAAAGCGCUGCAAGUUAUUUCUCCUUCUAUCUCUCUUGUCUUCUCCUUUUUGAAAAAAAUUGUGAUAUUCGCUUCCAUUGAACAUAUGAAUAAAUACAGAGAAGUUGGUGCCACAGCAGUUUAAUCAA